rnacentral:lncRNA from 1 species
UAGGGACGACGAACGGAAGGAGAGAGAACAAUUCACCUGUAAAUAGCUCCGGCAUCAAUCCUCCGGAAACUCUCCCGCUGCUCAAGUAACUUCCGUGAUCCAACGGCUGAGUUAACUCAAAGCCUGAUUUAAAGUUAAAAAGCAGAUGUAUAAUAAAUUAUAAAAAGCUGCAUAAUCUCAAAACCAUUUUUAUCUUGCUCUAAUGCGGAAGUUUAUUUUUAAAACGGUGCUAUAUUCCUCAUGCUAAAAAAGAAUCUAAUCUAUUAAUUUAGGGUUCUAUUUUUAUCUACCAUUAGUAAGUCAUAGUAGGACCACCUAAAGAAAUAGUUAAUAUGACAUAUUUGAUUAUUUACAUUAAUAAUAAACCAACUAUAAAUUUGAAUUUUAUUUUUUAAUUAUAACAAAAUCUGUUGAGUAAAAUCUAACAAAAUCUUCUUUAAAAUUUAAAUAUUUUUAUAAAAUAACAUAUUAAUUAAUUUCGUAAUUAAUAAUAUAAUAUUGUUAUAAAUCAAUGUUAACUAAUUUUUUUUUAUAAAAAAGAAAUAAAAAUUAUAUACUAUUUUUAAUAAAUUAUAUAAUUAGAUUCUGUAUUAUAUAAAAAUAGAAGUUUUAUAAGAUUUAAAAAUUAUAAAAUUAUAUUAAAUAGGCAAAUUAACAAUUUUUUUAUUGUUUCAUUUAAAUAAAUUAUCAAUCAUCAUUAAAAUUAGUUAAAAUUCGUAAACUAUAUAAUAUUUUUAUACAAAAAAUAAAUUUAUUAAGAUAUGUUAAACUUUUAUAUCUACAACUAUAUAUUAUCUUUUAUUUACUUUGAAACUCUCGACAAUAUUUUUUUGAAAAGUUUAUAUACAAAGAUAUAAUAUUAUAUAAUAACUUUUAAUUCAUAUAUUAUUUUAAAAUAUGUUAUUAGAAUGUUAUUAGAAAACUAUGAAAUUUUAGUAGUUCAAAUCAAAUUUUAAUUGUAACUUUUUCUUAAUUAUAACAAAAUCUAUUGAGAAAAUUUAGAAAAUAUCACCAAAAAUUUAAAUAUUUUUUAUUAUAAAUUAGUGUAUUAAUGUAGUAACAAAAACAAAUUCAAAAUGUAAUCUUCCAAACUCAAAUAUAGUACUGUAAUUUUUCAAAGUUUACUUGACAAAAUAUAAAUUUUGAAAAUAAAUAUUCAAACUCGAAAUGAUAAUAUUUCAAAUUUUACAAAAUAUUAAAUCACAGAUAAUAAAGAAUAACUUUUUGAAAUGCACCACGGAAAAAACAAACUAUAUAUGUUGUAAAAAUUAAAGCAAUCGAAUAUUUUGAAAAUAUAAUUAAAAAAAAACUUAAUAUCAUAGCAUCCAAAAAAUAUCUUAUAUCAAUAAAAUUUAGUAAAAUAAUAUGAUAGAUGCUACUAUGUAUAAAAUUUACUAAAAUAAUAGGGCUAUGUGUUCCAAAAAAAACAAUAGGGCUAUAAUAUUUAAACAAUUUGUUUUUACUUAAAUUCUGUAAAAUACUAAAAUAAUAUAUAUUAAACUCAAAAAUAAUAUUGAAGGAGGUUUUCUAUUUGAUUAUUUCAUAUUGUUAUUUUAUUGUAUCUAACUCAAAAAUAUAUAAGUAAGAAAUAAACAUUAAUAGCAAAGUAAAAUAUAUUAAAAAUCACUACAUAUGAAUAAUGCUGAAUAAAAAAAUAUAAACAAUAAUAUUAUAGAGUUACAUAAUAUAUAAUACUAAAAUAAAAAUUUAUAUUUAAAAUAUUUGUAAUAAUAUCUAAUGCAUUAUAAAAUGAAAAAAAUAUCCGCACGAACGUGCGGGUUAAAAUCUAGUUGUAAAAUUAAGAUAAAGUAUGGAACUUUGUUGUACCUUCAUAGACAAGAUCAGAGUUUGUGUACUUGUGUUCUUGUCUGAAAGUACAGGUUUAGAUUUUAAAAGUCUUUGCUUUUCUUCAGCCUGAAGAACCC